rnacentral:snoRNA from 1 species
AAUUCAUGAUGUGGGCACUUUCUGAUUGCCUCCUUGAAUCUCUCCCACGCCUCCCUCCUUGAAUCUCUCCCAUGCCUCAUAAAGUGAUUCACCAUUGAACUUGGUGAAGUUAGUGAUUUCGUUCCUCAAUCU